GUUGCGGUUAAAAAGCUCGUAGAUGGAUUUCUGUUGAGGUCGGCCAGUCCGCACCUCUGUGCGAGUAUUUGGUUCAGCCUCGGCAUCCUCCUGGGGAGCGUAAUUGUACUUGAUUGUAUGAUACGUAAUUCAGGACUUUUACUUUGAGGAAAUUAGAGUGUUCACGGCAGGCGAUUGCCUUGAAUAUGUUAGCAUGGAAUAAUAAUAUAAGACCUCGGUUUUAUUUUGUUGGUUUCUAGAAGCGAGGUAAUGACUAAUAGGGACAACUGGGGGUAUUCGAAUUAACGCGUCAGAGGUGGAAUUCUUGGAUUGCGUUACGACGAACUACUGCGAAAGCAUUUACCAAGGAUGUUUUCAUUGAUCAAGAACGAAAGUCAGGGGAUCGAAGACGAUUAGAUACCGUCGUAGUCUUGACCAUAAACUAUGCCGACUAGGGAUUAGAGGUCGCUCUUUUUACGGCUCCUUUAGCACCUUAUGAGAAAAUCAAAGUUCUUUGGGGUUCCGGGGGGAGUAUGGU
rnacentral:rRNA from 1 species